rnacentral:rRNA from 1 species
GCGGAGGGAUCAUUGCUGGAACGCGCCCCAGGCGCACCCAGAAACCCUUUGUGAACUUAUACCUUACUGUUGCCUCGGCGCUAGCUGGUCCUUCGGGGCCCCUCACCCCCGGGUGUUGAGACAGCCCGCCGGCGGCCAACCCAACUCUUGUUUUUACACUGAAACUCUGAGAAUAAAACAUAAAUGAAUCAAAACUUUCAACAACGGAUCUCUUGGUUCUGGCAUCGAUGAAGAACGCAGCGAAAUGCGAUAAGUAAUGUGAAUUGCAGAAUUCAGUGAAUCAUCGAAUCUUUGAACGCACAUUGCGCCCUCUGGUAUUCCGGAGGGCAUGCCUGUUCGAGCGUCAUUUCAACCCUCAAGCCUGGCUUGGUGAUGGGGCACUGCUUCUUACCCAAGGAGCAGGCCCUGAAAUUCAGUGGCGAGCUCGCCAGGACCCCGAGCGCAGUAGUUAAACCCUCGCUCUGGAAGGCCCUGGCGGUGCCCUGCCGUUAAACCCCCAACUUCUGAAAAUUUGACCUCGGAUCAGGUAGGAAUACCCG